ensembl:lncRNA
GCCAGCAGCUGAAGGCCAGUAGCUGAAGGCCAGCAGCUGAAGGCCAGUAGCUGAAGGCCAGCAGCUGAAGGCCAGCAGCUGAAGGCCAGCAGCUGAAGGCCAGCAGCUGAAGGCCAGCAGCUGAAGGCCAGCAGCUGAAGGCUAGUAGCUGAAGGCUAGUUGAAGGCCAGCAGCUGAAGGCUAGUUGAAGGCCAGUAGCUGAAGGCUAGUUGAAGGCCAACUAAAAGCCACUGGUUUAUGUCUGUAUGCUGCUCACUGUUCUAAAGAGUUAAGCCAUGAAGAAAACACCUUCCGUUUGAUUUUUUUAUUGAGGUGGAAAGCUGACAAAAUAAAUUAUGGUGAAUGAUGUUGAAUGACAUCCUGGUAUGAUAUGAAGAUACUAAUUAUUAUUUUUGAGAAUAUGUAUAUAGUUUGUAUGUUUCUGUAAAUACUACAUCCUCAGUUCACUGUGGUAUCACCCUGUUAAUUUUGUACAUUUUAAAACGUGAAAAAUAUGUUGUACAUAUUACAGAUUUGUUUUAUUUAUUUAUAUAUAUAUACACAUGUAUAAAUAUCUUGAUUGGAUGUUUUAUUUUCCUAAGCUCUCGUGUCUACUGUGAAUGGUUACACAGUUGUUAAUAUUGUCCCAUCAUCAUAACCAACCAACCAAUGUUCAUUAUCUUGAUUCAUUAUCCAUUGAAUCAUUAUCUUGGUUGUGUGAAUGACAC